CACCAAUCAUAGGUGUAUUACAUUCGGAUUUCGGUCAUGGGUAUCCGCCCUUGUCUCCGGAAAUAUUAUACCAACAAAAUUAGUCAACAUCCGUUUUCAAAAUGGUAAAGUGUUCUUCACGAUCUCCCUAGAAAUAGGAUGGAGAAAAAUAUUCACCAUGCAUCAAAAAUUUAAAACAGACUGAGGACAUUUUUCAUGUAAAUGUAUGAUAUAAAUACAACAAGAAAACAGUAAACAAAUGGAAUGUCAACGACCAGUAAUGUUGAAAGCAGAAUGAUUUUGAAAAUAGAAAAAAAAUAAAUAGGACUAGAUUACAUUAAAAUGCCUUAACAAAUUUACACAACACAUCCUGUUAGAAGAAUAAUUUCUCUGGAGAUAGAAAUAUUGAUAACUAGAAUCAGCAAUUUAUAUGAAAUUUGUUAUGAGACAUAGAUUCAUGACCAAAAUGGUAAUCCAGGUGGUUCAAGUGAUUAUUAGCAGACAUUUUGAACUAAUGCAGGAUUGAAUAAAUGAAACUUAAAACAGAUUAUGGGCUCAAAGUGAAGUAACAAGAGGAUUUUUAAAUAUUUGAAACUCAUCAACAUUAAAAUUUGCAUAAGUGAGAUGUAACAAUAUUUAUUAAAAAAUUCAGAUAUUUGA